GACUAUUCAUAAAAGCAGUUGACACAUAAAUUAACGUAUUUCUUUGUGUUGUACUCAAAAUGACAAAUUUAUAAUUGUAUAGUAUCUAACAAUAAAUGAUGGUAUAUAUAUAAAAUAUCACAGUCAAUUAUUAGCAGCUAUAGAAUAUCACAAUUCUCAAACCAUUGCAUACAAACAAAUCAAGCAGUUGUUGUAUUUAGAUGAAACUACAGGACUUAUUCUACCUAAGGAGGUAUUCAACAUUUAACAAAUGCUUCAGAAAUAAAUAUUUUUUCUUCAAAUAUGAAAAUCUUUCCCAUACACAUGA